GGCCCCAUAGUGUAGUGGUUAGCACGUCUGCUUUACACGCAGAAGAUUCUAAGUUCGCAGGCUGAGUGCCU
rnacentral:tRNA from 1 species